rnacentral:rRNA from 1 species
UACAGAGGGGGCAAGCGUUAUUCGGAAUUAUUGGGCGUAAAGGGCGCGUAGGCGGCUUGGCAAGUGGAUGGUGAAAUCCCUCGGCUUAACCGAGGAACUGCCGUCCAAACUGCUUCGCUUGAGACCGGGAGAGGUGAGUGGAAUUCCCAGUGUAGCGGUGAAAUGCGUAGAUAUUGGGAGGAACACCAAUGGCGAAGGCGGCUCACUGGACCGGUACUGACGCUGAUGCGCGAAAGCGUGGGGAGCAAACGGG